UACGUAGGGUGCGAGCGUUAAUCGGAAUUACUGGGCGUAAAGCGUGCGCAGGCGGUUUGUUAAGACAGGUGUGAAAUCCCCGGGCUUAACCUGGGAAUUGCGCUUGUAACUGGCAAGCUAGAGUGUGUCAGAGGGAGGUAGAAUUCCACGUGUAGCAGUGAAAUGCGUAGAGAUGUGGAGGAAUACCGAUGGCGAAGGCAGCCUCCUGGGAUAACACUGACGCUCAUGCACGAAAGCGUGGGGAGCAAACAGG
rnacentral:rRNA from 1 species